AAAUUUUAUUAAUUUGAUUUGCCGUAUACAUGGCUUAAGCAGGGGCAUACCCCCACUGUACAUGAAUUUUAUAAGAUUAAAUACUCAAUGGCAGUCGGUUGAAGUUUUGAUGCACAACUUCGCAGUCGUUUAGAUUGGGUUUAGUUUAACGACUUUCCGGUCGUUUGAAGUUGAGUUUAGUUUAGCGACAUUUCGGUCGUUUGAAUUGGUUUUGGGUUGAACCGUUAUGCUUUGGUUCGGGACCCAUCCAGACUUGGUUUAGGUUGGGUC
rnacentral:lncRNA from 1 species